rnacentral:tRNA from 1 species
GAGGGUACAGUUCAGCAGUAGAAUGUGUGCUUAACAUGCACAAGGUCCUGAGUGCAAUCCCCAGUACCUCCA